rnacentral:rRNA from 1 species
GUCUACGGCCAUACCACCCUGAAAGCGCCCGAUCUCGUCUGAUCUCGGGAGCUAAGCAGGGACGGGCUUGGUUAGUACCUGGAUGGGAGACCGGCUGGGAAUACCAGGUGUUGAAGGCU